GACACAUUCCUGCGAGCAGCCUGGGGAGAGGAAACAGACUACACUCCCGUUUGGUGCAUGCGCCAGGCAGGCCGUUACUUACCAGAGUUUAGGGAAACCCGGGCUGCCCAGGACUUUUUCAGCACGUGUCGCUCUCCUGAGGCCUGCUGUGAACUGACUCUGCAGGUGAGGGGUCCACAAAAGAGGGAAAGAUUUAUGCCUUCAGUCUGCCACCUAGCAACCUGUCUCCUGUUUCCUACAGCCACUGCGUCGAUUCCCUCUGGAUGCUGCCAUCAUUUUCUCCGACAUCCUUGUUGUACCCCAGAUGUUUUCUCCCCCUCCAGGCACUGGGCAUGGAGGUGACCAUGGUACCUGGCAAAGGACCCAGCUUCCCAGAGCCAUUAAGAGAAGAGCAGGACCUAGAACGCCUACGGGAUCCAGAAGUGGUAGCCUCUGAGCUAGGCUAUGUGUUCCAAGCCAUCACCCUUACCCGACAACGACUGGCUGGACGUGUGCCGCUGAUUGGCUUUGCUGGUGCCCCAUGGACCCUGAUGACAUACAUGGUUGAGGGUGGUGGCUCAAGCACCAUGGCUCAGGCCAAGCGCUGGCUCUAUCAGAGACCUCAGGCUAGUCACCAGCUGCUUCGCAUCCUC
rnacentral:sRNA from 1 species